AUUGAACGCUGUCGGCAGGCUUAACACAUGCAAGUCGCGCGAGCGGCGGACGGGUGAGUAAUGUCUGGGCCACUUCCUGAUGGAUGGGGAUAACUACUGGAAACGGUAGCUAAUACCGCAUACCCUCAGAUGUGCCCAGAUGGGAUUCGCUAGGAGGUGGGGUAAUGGCUAACCUAGGCGACGAUCCCUAGCUGGUCUGAGAGGAUGACCAGCCACACUGGAACGGAGACACGGUCCAGACUCCUAAGGGAGGCAGCAGUGGGGAAUAUUGCACAAUGGGAGCAAGCCUGAUGCAGCCAUGCCGCGUGUGUGAAGAAGGCCUUCGGGUUGUAAAGCACUUUCAGCGAGGAGGCGUUACUCGCAGAAGAAGCACCGGCUAACUCCGUGCCAGCCGCCGCGGUAAUAC
rnacentral:rRNA from 1 species